rnacentral:rRNA from 1 species
GAUGAACGCUGGCGGCGUGCUUAACACAUGCAAGUCGAACGGAAAGGCUCCUGCUUGCCGGGGUACUCGAGUGGCGAACGGGUGAGUAACACGUGGGUGAUCUGCCCUGCACUUCGGGAUAAGCCUGGGAAACUGGGUCUAAUACCGGAUAGGACGAUGGUUUGGAUGCCAUUUUGGAAAGUUUUUCGGUGUGGGAUGAGCUCGCGGCCUAUCAGCUUGUUGGUGGGGUAAUGGCCUACCAAGGCGUCGACGGGUAGCCGGCCUGAGAGGGUGUACGGCCACAUUGGGACUGAGAUACGGCCCAGACUCCUACGGGAGGCAGCAGUGGGGAAUAUUGCACAAUGGGCGCAAGCCUGAUGCAGCGACGCCGCGUGGGGGAUGACGGCCUUCGGGUUGUAAACUCCUUUCGCUAGGGACGAAGCGCAAGUGACGGUACCUGGAGAAGAAGCACCGGCUAACUACGUG